rnacentral:rRNA from 1 species
AUGAACGCUGGCGGCGUGCCUAAUACAUGCAAGUCGAACGAAACUUCUUUAUCACCGAGUGCUUGCACUCACCGAUAAAGAGUUGAGUGGCGAACGGGUGAGUAACACGUGGGCAACCUGCCCAAAAGAGGGGGAUAACACUUGGAAACAGGUGCUAAUACCGCAUAACCAUAGUUACCGCAUGGUAACUAUGUAAAAGGUGGCUAUACUACCGCUUUUGGAUGGGCCCGCGGCGCAUUAGCUAGUUGGUAGGGUAAAGGCUUACCAAGGCAAUGAUGCGUAGCCGAAUUGAGAGGUUGAUCGGCCACAUUGGGACUGAGACACGGCCCAAACUCCUACGGGAGGCAGCAGUAGGGAAUCUUCCACAAUGGGCGAAAGCCUGAUGGAGCAACGCCGCGUGGGUGAAGAAGGUCUUCGGAUCGUAAAACCCUGUUGUUAGAGAAGAAAGUGCGUGAGAGUAACUGUUCACGUUUCGAUGGUAUCUAACCAGAAAGCCACGGCUAACUACGUG